CGAGUUGCAGCAAAUUCUACCUCCUGACACAGUCCAGCUGCUGCAGUCUAUAACCCAAUCAGCGCUUCAUCAAGAUUUUGCUGCCAUCAUGGAUUAAAGUGAAACCGGAAAUACUGGCAUAUGGAAAUGCUGGAAUGGGAAAUAUUGGAAGAAAUCAACCAAGAAAUUGAACUGAUAGUGCUAAUAUCUUGACAGUACAUUUCACAGUUUAUACCCUGUUAUCAAAAUCCUGAGAUCACCAGAUGAUGCUCUCCUGUCAUCUGCUGGAUCUUAAAAUUUGUAUUGUGCUCAUUGACUUUUGUUUUCCUUCAUAUCAUUGGUAAGUGGUGACAUUUGCAGAAAAAUAGCAAUAAUACAAGCUUAUCAGUAAAGAAAA